CCCGAUUUCCUUAUCAGGCAGUGAUUUUUCUGCCCUAGCCCCAUUUCUACGAUCCCCAACAUAACCAGCAUCGUCGACCUAUUUGCUGAAGAUUUGAGCAGGCUAUGGGGAUUUUCAACAAAAUGGACAAUUUUUGGCUGGAGAGGGAAUUCGGCAAGGCGAGAGGCUAAUUGAUGUUGCCUUAUCCAAUUGAAGACUGCUGAGGAGAAAGGAUGUUUUCUUAAUUGUUUUGCUUAUCAAGCAAUGGGUUAGAUAAAUUCCCCUAAGGAAUGAGCACAAAUUGUGUAUUAAACCAAGUUAUGUUGACUCCAGAAGAAUUGAGUGAUCAAUCCCGCCAAAAUAACUCCAAGAAAUGCUACCUUCCUCCAGUCAGGCGAUGAAGAUACUGAGGCAUCAGCAAUUCCAAUAACAACCAACCCCAUCAGAGCAAGCUGAGUUCACAAGGGAAGAAGAAAAAUACCCUGGCACCAGCUUCAUCCAAUUCCUUGAGGGCAUUUUCUCCAAUCAGGUCGAUUUCGGCAUUGGCUUCCUCAGCAAACUGGGUUAGAUAUUCUGAUCUUUCGUCCAAGAAA